rnacentral:tRNA from 2 species
GUUUCUAUAGUUGAAUACAACGGUGGUUUUUCAAGCCAUUAGUCCGGGUUAAAGUCCUGGUAGAAAUU